GCCGGGCAUGGUGGCGCGCGCCUGUAGUCCCAGCUACCUGGGAGGCUGAGGCUGGAGGAUCGCUUGAGCUCAGGAGUUCUGGGCUGCAGUGCGCUAUGCCGAUCGGGUGUCCGCACUAAGUUCGGCAUCAAUAUGGUGACCUCCCGGGAGCGGGGGACCACCAGGUUGCCUAAGGAGGGGUGAACCGGCCCAGGUCGGAAACGGAGCAGGUCAGAAAGUAAUUGAGAAGGAAGGGGAGAUAGAGACAGAGAGAUACCUGCAGCCCUGCUUCACCACUCAUGAAGCAUUCCUUCUU
rnacentral:SRP_RNA from 1 species